rnacentral:rRNA from 1 species
AUGAACGCUGGCGGCGUGCCUAAUCCAUGCAAGUCGCGCGAACAGACGAGGAGCUUGCUCCUCUGACGUUAGCGGCGGACGGGUGAGUAACACGUGGAUAACCUACCUAUAAGACUGGGAUAACUUCGGGAAACCGGAGCUAAUACCGGAUAAUAUAUUGAACCGCAUGGUUCAAUAGUGAAAGACGGUUUUGCUGUCACUUAUAGAUGGAUCCGCGCCGCAUUAGCUAGUUGGUAAGGUAACGGCUUACCAAGGCAACGAUGCGUAGCCGACCUGAGAGGGUGAUCGGCCACACUGGAACUGAGACACGGUCCAGACUCCUACGGGAGGCAGCAGUAGGGAAUCUUCCGCAAUGGGCGAAAGCCUGACGGAGCAACGCCGCGUGAGUGAUGAAGGUCUUCGGAUCGUAAAACUCUGUUAUUAGGGAAUAACAAAUGUGUAAGUAACUAUGCACGUCUUGACGGUACCUAAUCAGAAAGCCACGGCUAACUACGUG